UACGUAGGGGGCAAGCGUUGGCCGGAUUUAUUGGGCGUAAAGAGCGUGUAGGCGGCCAGGCAGGUCCGCUGUGAAAACUCGAGGCUCAACCUCGAGAGGUCGGUGGAAACCGUCUGGCUAGAGUCCGGAAGAGGAGAGUGGAAUUCCCGGUGUAGCGGUGAAAUGCGCAGAUAUCGGGAAGAACACCCGUGGCGAAGGCGGCUCUCUGGGACGGUACUGACGCUGAGACGCGAAAGCGUGGGGAGCGAACAGG
rnacentral:rRNA from 1 species